GCAGACGGGUGAGUAACGCGUGGGAAUCUACCCAUCUCUACGGAAUAACUCAGGGAAACUUGUGCUAAUACCGUAUACGCCCUUCGGGGGAAAGAUUUAUCGGAGAUGGAUGAGCCCGCGUUGGAUUAGCUAGUUGGUGGGGUAAAGGCCUACCAAGGCGACGAUCCAUAGCUGGUCUGAGAGGAUGAUCAGCCACAUUGGGACUGAGACACGGCCCAAACUCCUACGGGAGGCAGCAGUGGGGAAUAUUGGACAAUGGGCGCAAGCCUGAUCCAGCCAUGCCGCGUGAGUGAUGAAGGCCUUAGGGUUGUAAAGCUCUUUCACCGGAGAAGAUAAUGACGGUAUCCGGAGAAGAAGCCCCGGCUAACUUCGUGCCAGCAGCCGCGGUAAUACGAAGGGGGCUAGCGUUGUUCGGAAUUACUGGGCGUAAAGCGCACGUAGGCGGAUCGAUCAGUCAGGGGUGAAAUCCCAGAGCUCAACUCUGGAACUGCCUUUGAUACUGUCGAUCUAGAGUAUGGAAGAGGUGAGUGGAAUUCCGAGU
rnacentral:rRNA from 1 species